rnacentral:rRNA from 1 species
UACGUAGGGUGCAAGCGUUAUCCGGAAUUAUUGGGCGUAAAGAGCUCGUAGGCGGUUUGUCGCGUCUGCUGUGAAAACUGGAGGCUCAACCUCCAGCCUGCAGUGGGUACGGGCAGACUAGAGUGAUGUAGGGGAGACUGGAAUUCCUGGUGUAGCGGUGAAAUGCGCAGAUAUCGGGAAGAACACCCGUGGCGAAGGCGGUUCUCUGGGACGGUACUGACGCUGAGACGCGAAAGCGUGGGGAGCGAACAGG